UGAGACAGGUGCUGCAUGGCUGUCGUCAGCUCGUGUUGUGAAAUGUUGGGUUAAGUCCCGCAACGAGCGCAACCCUUAUCCUUUGUUGCCAGCGGUCCGGCCGGGAACUCAAAGGAGACUGCCAGUGAUAAACUGGAGGAAGGUGGGGAUGACGUCAAGUCAUCAUGGCCCUUACGACCAGGGCUACACACGUGCUACAAUGGCGCAUACAAAGAGAAGCGACCUCGCGAGAGCAAGCGGACCUCAUAAAGUGCGUCGUAGUCCGGAUUGGAGUCUGCAACUCGACUCCAUGAAGUCGGAAUCGCUAGUAAUCGUGGAUCAGAAUGCCACGGUGAAUACGUUCCCGGGCCUUGUACACACCGCCCGUCACACCAUGGGAGUGGGUUGCAAAAGAAGUAGGUAGCUUAACCUUCGGGAGGGCGCUUACCACUUUGUGAUUCAUGACUGGGGUGAAGUCGUAACAAGGUAACCGUAGGGGAACCUGC
rnacentral:rRNA from 2 species